CCUACGGGAGGCAGCAGUGGGGAAUAUUGGACAAUGGGGGCAACCCUGAUCCAGCCAUGCCGCGUGUGUGAAGAAGGCCCUCGGGUUGUAAAGCACUUUCAGUGAGGAAGAACGCCUGGUGGUUAAUACCCAUCAGGAAAGACAUCACUCACAGAAGAAGCACCGGCUAACUCCGUGCCAGCAGCCGCGGUAAUACGGAGGGUGCGAGCGUUAAUCGGAAUUACUGGGCGUAAAGCGCGCGUAGGUGGCUUGAUAAGCCGGUUGUGAAAGCCCCGGGCUCAACCUGGGAACGGCAUCCGGAACUGUCAAGCUAGAGUGCAGGAGAGGAAGGUAGAAUUCCCGGUGUAGCGGUGAAAUGCGUAGAGAUCGGGAGGAAUACCAGUGGCGAAGGCGGCCUUCUGGACUGACACUGACACUGAGGUGCGAAAGCGUGGGUAGCAAGCAGGAUUAGAUACCCUGGUAGUC
rnacentral:rRNA from 1 species